CAAGUAGUGAACACUUAACUACCAAAAUAAUAACAAUUGAGGGAGGGGCAGGGAGGGUAUUGGAGAGAGGCCGUGUUCUGGUCACAGGACUGCCCGGGGAGAAUCCGGGCCUCGUCCCUCCCAUGAUCCACACUUGCCUGACCAGCCAGCGAGCCCGGCUUAGACCGCCUGACCUCUCUUCGGAGUGGAAACUCUGGUCCGGGAAGCCAGGACUCCUGUGAUUCAGCAAGGCGCUGACUUCCGCCAGCCAGGGGAAGUAAGAAAACAACGGCGUGAAGCCUCACCUGGCUCCCUCUCCGCCAGACUGCAGGGGCCUAACCCCACCCCACCAGCGGUAGGACGGCUGUUCCACUGAGCCACGGGGGACUGAAAGCGCUCCGCUCCUUCUAACUGCUCUGCUGUAAUGUUGUUUGUCUCACCCUUCUGUGGGUCUUCUGCCAUCCCCCUCCCCGCUUUGCCCUGAGCUUGCGAGCCCCUUGGGGGGCCAGGGACCACGUCUAAUUUUCAUCCAUGUAGUCUCUCCUCAGCGCCUUGCACACCGGGAGCUUAAUAAAUACUAUCGAAAGGCAUCUUCA